GUGAGUCAUCGAAUCUUUGAACGCAUAUUGCGCUCUUUGGUAUUCCGAAGAGCAUGCUUGUUUGAGUAUCAGUAAACACCUCAAAGACUUUCAAUUUGUUUUGAAUGGCUUUGGACUUGAGCAAUCCCAACACCAGUCUUUACGAUCGGUGGAGGGUUGCUUGAAAUGCAGGUGCAGCUGGACAUUCUCCUGAGCUAAAAGCAUAUUUAUUUAGUCCCGUCAAACGGAUUAUUACUUUUGCUGCAGCUAACAUAAAGGGAGUUUGACCAUAUUGGCUGACUGAUGCAGGAUUUCACAAGG
rnacentral:misc_RNA from 1 species